UCUCAUCCCCUCCUUGUGCUCACAAUAGUCCCAACCAACCUGACUCUUGGCUGUUUGGGCAGCAGGUCUUCCUCACAGAGUAGAGCAAGAGGAACCAGCAGUCCAAUUUGACAGAAACUGCUGAGGAGCCCGGUAGAUCUGUGAGCUUUCUGGGAGGGAGCUUGCUCAGGACUGUCCAGGGCCAGGUAGCUAGAGCUCUGGUCUGGGAACAAAACAGAGGACAGGUGUGCACUGAUUUCUUGAGCCUGAGGCUGGAGCCUAAGGCAGGAGAGUAGGUCCAGGCCAGAACCCCUCACCUCCUUGAAGACUCCUUUUGUGGACUUGCUGCCCUGCAAAGGUCUCAGUAGAGGAGAGAAGCUGGGUGGUGAGCACCACCUGCUCAGUUAGAGCAGGAAGGGGCUGUGGCCUGCAAAGCCCCAGGGCUUCUACAGGACACCCAUUCCUCCUCCAAGGUUUUCACUUCAAAGAACCAACUUACUUCUCUUCAUCAUCCAGCAUUGGAAACAAAGCUCAGAGAGGAAACUCUAGGAUUUCCUCCUCUCCCUUCUGGAUCAUCAGGCUGGCUCUCAAAACCCAAAAUGCAUCAGUACAUUUCCCAGUGCAAACUCAACAAUGAGAGUCUGUUAACUCAAACACCAUCCAUCCUUCCAAAUGUUUGAGCUUGGACCAUUUGCCAAAUGGAGCCUCAGAUUGUGAAGACCCAGGCUGGAGAUGUCAGCCACACGAAGCUGACUUUGAGUCUUUCAGGAAGGUGCCAGCACGGAAAGGCGUGUGUGAAUGCCACAUAAACGUUUGACCUAGCAUAGAACCUAAGAGCUUCGGUAGGGAGAGAAGAAAUGUACAAAGGUAGCCUCUGAGUGUGCAGGCAUCUGUGGAAAGGGGGUCUCAGAAAAAUUAAACAGCAGACAGAUGAGGGACCUUAAGACAGGGACCUCUUAGGGUUGCAGUCUGGAGGUUUCAGGAGAAAGAAUAUAUACCGAUGCUGAUUUGAAUAGGAAUGGUCCACAUAGAUUUGACUGCUGGAUCACCAGAGAGUAGUUCUAUUUGAAAGGAUUAGAGGGUAUGGCCUUGUGGGUAGUGUGGCCUUGUUUGAGGAAAUGUGUCACUGACGGUAGGCUUUGAAGUUACAGAAGCCCAAACAAGGUUUAGUGAGUGUCUCUUUCUGACUCUCUGUCUCCCUGUCUCUCAGUCUCUCUGUCUCUCUGUUUUCCUGUUUCUCUGACUAUCUCUCUGCCUCUCCUUGUCUCUGUCUCUCUCUGUGUCUGUCUGUCUGUCUGCCUGUCUGUCUGUCUCCCUGUCUCUCUGUCUCUUGCUCUCUCACUCUCUCUGCUGCCAGGAUCCAAAUGUAGAAGUCUCAGCUGCUUCUCCAGCGCCAUGUCUAGGCGCAUGCAGCUCUGCUCCCUGCUAUGAUAAUAAUGGACUAAACCUCGGAAACUCUGAGCAAGCUCCAGUUAAAUGCUUUCUUUUGUAGGAGUUACCAUGGCUGUGACAUCUCUUACAACAACAGAACACUAAGACAGCACCGAACAGUGAAAAUAAUAAAUGGCACAGUUGGUGUCCAAGGGCUGCUACAGUCACACAAGCAGGCCAUUGCAGGCAGAAAACAGUGUGGUGAGUGGAUGACGCCACCCAAUGGUGUCUUCACAGGCCGGUGUGGAAAUGAGAAGAGCGCAUGGACAAGGGAGGUUGGUCUCGUCUCGAGACCGGAUUGUUCAGCAGACUUCCCGCUUUGGGUUGGCAUCUGGACCUGGUCUCUAGUGUUCCUCACCAGGGCUUCCCAUCAGGGUGAGGAUAUGCGCCUAUUGUCCGUGAUUCAGUCUCCUGAGAGGAAACUGCGGCUGACACCAGGUUGGCUUGGGGUUUAGACUCCAGGUUCUUUGGCAGGAGGCUGCCUGUGUCUUUACUGAAACAUGGGCUGAAGGCAGACAGCAGAACCUCAAUGUUUCAAAGUUUUGGAGUCCAGAGGAAAGAAGAGCAAAAGGAACAUUUAGCAGUGGCUUGCACAGGGAGACACAUGGUCAUUCUGGAUGGGACCUGAGGUUGAAUUCACCCAUUGUGUGCCUGGCACCUUAUGAUGUGAAAGAGGCUCCUGCAAACAGAGGAAGAGGAGGCAGAUUCUGUGGUCUGCAAGCACCCAGAGAGAGACAGUAAUGCCUACUGCAUAGUGUGUGAGUGCGUAAACGGGGCCAGGAAAGUGAAGACCAAGCAGGAUCCUCAGUCUUCUGUGUUAUAUGAAGCCUUGUGGCUUGGCCAGACAUCAUAGCUCAUAGAGCCAUGGUGAGAACCAAGAGGCAGAGAUCCUGGGGCUGCCAUGAAGCUGUUGUGCUACUGAAGACAAAGAGGCAGCAAAGAAGGCCAGGUCCAACAGUGGGGAUGGUUCUGGCACUUUCCCCCUGCUGGGCAACACUGGGAUUUCCCUGUCAGGGUUUUCUUGACCAGGCCUGCCCCAUGGUUGUUCUGUGGGAGGAGCACAGGCUGUAUGAGGCUCUAGUGCAACCCCACACAGUUUGGUCCUCACCGCCUCAGAAUGCCCUCGGCCGGAGGAAUCAACGCACGUGAUGUCUGACCCUUCCACACAAACCUUGUCCUGGGAAAUUAAUCCUUGUCCUUUCCCCUAUUGAGGCAAGCAGUGUUCCUAACAGCAGAAACCCUGCAGUCAGGCUCCCUGAUGUGGAGCCAUGGAUCAGAGCCUCUGCCUCCCUCCCUGGGCUAGACCGUCCAUGUGAUACAGGGGCCGCUAGUUACAGUAGCACAGCCUGCUCCACCCCACUGAUAUACAAGUCAGAUAAAUAAGAUCACAAUGUGGUUAUAUAUCAUUACGGGAUUAUACUGUAAUAGAACUGUGAAUUGUAUAAUUAUAUAUUACAGUAAGUUGUGGAUUAUGUGCCUGUAUAUUAUAAUUUUUCCACAGAGAAAGCAACUGACAGAGCCUUAUAUAUAUUAUUUUGUGGUUCUGUAGCUCUCGAGGCAAGUGUUAUCCACCGGGCCACCUGUCCAACCAAAUACUUAUCUUAAAGGGGAGAUGUAAAGACAGCAUAUACAGGAUGUGGCUCAUAGCAGAACAUUCAGGAUGUGCAAGGUUUGGAUCUUGAUCUUCCACAGUGUAAAGUAGCAACAACAACAACAACAACAACAACAACAACAACAACAACACAGGUGUAGGGAAGCACACACAACGACACUAACUGAAGACUUUACCAAAUUCAGUCUUUUGUUCUCACAAGAACCUUGAGCAAGAGUACAUUAUUUUCAAGGUUGCUUUUUUUAAAAAAAAUCUCUUUUUUAUCCCCUUCCCCGUAGGAAGGAGGCGGUUCUAUGAUCACAGUUGUGAGAAAAUUGUGUGGACUGAGGAAACCUCAGUGUGUUUAGUAAAAUAUCAGUAAAACUCAGGAUAUUGGCUCAAUGUGCGAUAGACCAGAGAAAUUCUAAUAUUGCCCUAAAAACACCAAGCCUUCUUUUGUAGGUUUUUUUUGUAGUUUAAGGCAAGUAAAAACAUUCAUAUUUGAUAACUUUAAUAUCAAUGGUUAACACUAAUUGUUUAACACAAACGUUUUACUUUGAUGUGGCCAAAUACACCACCUCCUGUUAGAUAUCUGCUUUUUCUGUUUUUUAAAAUUUCUACAAUUUUAGUUUGCACACACAGGCCUUUAGUCUCCAUGGAGUUUAUGUUUUGGGGACAUGGCAUAAGGCAGGACUCUGUCUCUUUGUUUAUGACUGUCCUUCUGAUCAUCACUAAAGGCAUUGUUUUUAUCACAGA